rnacentral:tRNA from 1 species
GAUUUUGUAGCUCAAUAGGCAGAGCAAUUGGAUAUUACCCAAUAGGUUAAAGGUUCGAAUCCUUUCAAAAUCA